UACGUAGGGUGCGAGCGUUAAUCGGAAUUACUGGGCGUAAAGCGUGCGCAGGCGGUGAGCUGUGUCCGAUGUGAAAGCCCCGGGCUUAACCUGGGAAUGGCAUUGGAAACUGGCUCGCUGGAGUGUGGCAGAGGGGGGUGGAAUUCCGCGUGUAGCAGUGAAAUGCGUAGAGAUGCGGAGGAACACCGAUGGCGAAGGCAGCCCCCUGGGCUAACACUGACGCUCAGGCACGAAAACGUGGGGAGCAAACAGG
rnacentral:rRNA from 1 species